rnacentral:hammerhead_ribozyme from 1 species
UGACGAGUCCCAAACAGGACGAAACAGCCGUC